GCUUCGCUCUAUAGUUACACCGGGUUGACUGCAGAGACGUGGGGUGUAAAAAGAAGUUUGAAGACAUUCAGCAGGGGGAGACGGACAAACGACGAACAUAACCAUCCUGGGAGUUUCACAGAAUGUUUGAAGGUGAUCAAUUCUACAGAAGACAAGAGCAGGGUAAGAGGAUUCCACUCUAAACUGGAUGGUUGGAGUGAGCUGCACUGAAGAGGUAACUUUUGGGCAAAGACUUAAGGGAGAUGAAGAAGGGCAUCAAGUGGAUACCUGAGUGUCUGAGGAAGAGCAGAGGCGUCUGGCUGAAGCUGAGCAUGUGAGAAAGAGUUGUUGGUGAGGAUGCCAGGAGGUCACAGAGGUAAGGGGUGGGGUGGAGGUCACACGAGGCUUAAGAGGCCAUUGUAAGGACUUGUGCCUGGACUCUGGGUGAGGUGAGCAGCUACCUGGCCAGUUUCCAGCAGCUGAGUGGCAUAAUCUGCUUUGGCUGCCAUGUUGAGAAGAGUAGAAAGAAGUAAAGGUAGCAUCAGGGGGUCCAGCUAGAAGGCCAUUGCUGCCACACACGGGAGAGGGCAGGCAACACACACCAGCGUGGUGGUGGGGGCUCAGUGAGAAGUGCUCGGACGCUACAUGUGUUUUGAAGGCAGAGCCCAACAAGCUCUCCUGACAGAUUGGACAUGGGGUGUGGGAGAGAAAGGUGUGAAGGAUGACUCUAAGGUUCCUGGCCAGGGCAACUAGGCUGAAGCUACCACGAACUGAAAUGGGGAAGAUGGCAGGAGGAAGAGGUUUUGGGGGAAACGUUAGCAGUUCUGUUUUCACAUGUUAACUUUUAUUUCCAGUCCCAGCACCAUUUACUGAACAUUCCACUCAUAGGGAUGUGUUACAUCACCGCCUUCUUACUAUUCCAAGUCUCCACAUCGAUGCAGGUCUGUUUCUGGGUUCUACUCUGUUCCAAGUAAGUCUUGCUAUAUAGCAGGGCAGGUUCUUCCUUGAUAUUCUCCCCCAAAAUUGUGGCUAUUUUUAAAACCUCCCUUUGAAAUAUGAGGAUUAGAAUUUAGAAUCAGCUUGAGUAUUACAAUGAGCAUGUGCAAUUAGAUAAGAAAAAGAAAUCAGGUAACAGUAAUUUUUGCAGAUGGCAUGACUGUAUCAUUAGAAAACUGAAGAGAGUACACAGAAAAACUGUUAGAAAUAAAAAGAUAAUUCAGUCAAGUAAUGGGUAUAAAAUAUGUAGAAGUUAUUGGGCUACAGACAAACACAAACCACUUAGAGGAGAUAAAAGAAGAGUCCAUUUGUGAUAGAAUACAAAGACAAACAACAAGAAAUGAAAACUUCAAGCCAAGUGACAAAAUAUUACACCUCAACUUCUCACUUGGGAAAUGAAUUAUAAAGUAUGUCCCAGCUUGGCAUGGCAUGGAAAAGAAGACAGGCAAUCAGCUCAUUAUGGAAGUAUUUUAGGCUUCAAACAAUUUUCAUAUUCAGAUCCCUUUUAAUUUUUCUAUCAAAAAUGACUGAAACAAAUGCCACACAGGUCAGCCUGCUAAUAUUUGUCCUGAAUCUCAUCCUUCAGUUACCACUAAACAAAAUUUCAAUACAUCCAGUGUAACCCUGAUUAACAGCUACAUGUAAUGCAGUGGUUCCUAGAGUACCCUAUGAUGCUCACUGGCAGCUGAAAUUCCUACUCAGGUUUGUAAUGUGACUAUGCUUUUGACAUGAGUAAUUUCCUCGUAUUAAAUAAAAGCACCAGAUCUGCUUAUUGAUAGCUUUUCAAAUGUAAGCAUUGGUCUUUCCAUAAACUCUGCUGAGUUUUUAUGUCACAGCAAGGGUUGGUGGCUUUUGCUUUUAAAAGCACACUAAUCCUGCCUUCCUUGCGGCUAACAGCUCAUUAUGAGGCUAUAUAUUCUUUUGUAUCUUUCAACAUUGAUAGUAUACCACCAUAGUGCUGUGAAUACUACAGGUGGCCAGUAAUUGUUUGUAUACCUUCUGGCUCGCGCAACUGAAUAACAAUUUAACUUUUAAGUGGUUAAGUACAUUCUUUUAGGUUUAUAUUAUGUACUUUUAAAAGUCCUAUGCGAUUUGAUUUAAUCUAUUUCUGUAUGAAAUAAUGUUCUACAUAAGCAGAUCUUUAGGAAAACCUAAUGUACUUAAUUCAUACUUUUAUUCUUACACUUAUCCCUGUGCAUUAUAAUCAGUGGCUUAUGUUUCUGACCGCCCCUACCAGCUUGGGAGCUACUCACGGGCAGAGACCGCCUCUUCUUAAUCUCGGCAUCCCCCCAGUGCCUGCAUGAGAACACUCAAGAUUUGGUAGAUGAAAACACAAAGUGCCUAGGGAGAUAAAGACGUGUAUAGGAUCCUUCACAUUCAGAAAAUCCACAUAGAAAAGAAAGCCUGCCUGUUAGACACCACCAGAUGGAUGACCCACCACUACCCCAAAUGCAUGGUGUUUCUCUUGACCAAGGUCCCAGUCAAAUCUUAUUUUUAUUUUGCCUGACUUUCAUUUUUUUAUGAAUUUGUCAUCCUCACCAAUGAAUUGUGAAAAAAAAAAAAACAAAAAAACAAAACAACUAAUUGUGACAACUAAAUAUGUGAUACCUCGAUGGGAGGGAUCCUUGAACAGAAAAAGGACAUUAGGUGAAAGCUGAGAAAAUCCAAAUAAAGUAUGAACUGCAUUAAUAAUGAGUUAAUAAUGUAUAAAUAUUGGUUCAUUAGUUGUGACAAAUGUACCGUACAAUGUGACAUGCCAUAGUUGUGAGCAUUGUAAGAUGUCAAUAAAGAGAAAAACUGGGUUGGGUACAUGCGAACUUUCUAUAGUACUUUUACAAUUUUUCUGUAAAUUGAAAACUAUUGUAAAAUAAACAGUUUUACUUUGUUUUUUAUGUUAGACUUUGUGAAUGGGAAAAUGGUAUAAGACUUUAAGGAGGUUCACAUAUGAUUGAAGAGAUGAUAGGUGUGUGUAAAAAGAGACAAAAUGUAUAGCAAAGUCAGUGGAAGGAACAUUCCCUUUGAGAUUCGGUGGGAUUUGAUCUGGUCCUUGAAGAAAGUGGAAGGAUGGGGAAAUCCAUUCUAGAGAAAGAGGACGACCUAGACAAAGGCCUAGAAACAGGUGUUAAGUGAGAUGGAAAUAGGAAGAGUAAGGAUUUCCGUAGUUGCAGGUUAAUCUACAAACCUGCAGAAGCCAGAGGAACAGGGCCGUGACUGUCAGGUUAGGCUGUUGGGAGCCCCCAGAGGUUUUGGAAUAGCAGGAUAUUUUAGCAAAAUGUUCUCUGUCAGCUGCUUAUAGAAUAGAUAGGAGAGGGAAGGAAGAGAAAACAGAACCAUUUUAAGAGUGCAAAGACAGGGGUAGUAAUGGCCUAGUGUGAAUAAUGCCAGUGUGAGGGUGAGGGGACUAUGAGAGUGACAGAAAUGUUUCCAAGGAAGGGCCUGUGGUACUUUAUGAUUAGCUAGGUGCAGGAGCUAAAGAAAUGUAGGAUGAUACCAAGAGGGUGAGCCUGGCUAGCUGAGAAAAGCAUGCCACCAUUUGCAGAUGAAGGGUAAGUUGGAAAACAAAAUUUGACUAGAGAAUGUAUCUUAAUAAUUCACCUAUACAUUAAAGCUGACUUUUUGUUUGUUUACAGAACUAAAGGGUUUCUAAAAGUGUUAGUUCCCUCAGAUCGCUUCAAGUACUUUUUAAAAAGUGGAGGAUUAUUGAUGCCUUUAUCAGGAUUGAAAAUAAUAAAACACAAAAUCGAUUCUUUAAAAUAAGUCACUUGAGAUUAGUUUCAAAAAAAAAAGAAAAAAAAAAAA